rnacentral:rRNA from 1 species
GAUGAACGCUAGCGACAGGCUUAACACAUGCUUUUCGAGGGGCAGCGGGGUUGUAGCAAUACAACUGCCGGCGACCGGCGCACGGGUGAGUAACACGUAUGUAACCUGCCCUCUGCAGGGGGAUAAGCGGAAGAAAUUCCGUCUAAUACCGCAUAAUACAAUUUCGGAGACAUCUCCGGGUUGUCAAAGGAGUGAUCCGGCAGAGGAUGGACAUGCGGCGCAUUAGCUAGUCGGCGGGGUAACGGCCCACCGAGGCUACGAUGCGUAGGGGUUCUGAGAGGAAGGUCCCCCACACUGGUACUGAGACACGGACCAGACUCCUACGGGAGGCAGCAUUGAGGAAUAUUGGUCAAUGGGCGGAAGCCUGAACCAGCCAAAGUCGCGUGAGGGAAGACGGCCCUAUGGAUUGUAAACCUCCUUUUGCAGGGGAGCAAGGCGCGGCACGUGUACCGCGAAGGAGAGUACCCUGAGAAAAAAGCAUCGGCUAACUCCGUGCCAGCAGCCGCGGUAAUUACUGAUGAUGCUAGCGUAUUCCGGAUUUAUUGGGCUUAAAGGGUGCUCAGGCCGACUGUUAAGUCAGCGGUAAAAUGUCGGUGCUCAACACCGGCCGGCCGUUGAAACUGGCAGCCUUGAGUGAGCGAGAAGUAUGCGGAAUGCGUGGUGUAGCGGUGAAAUGCAUAGAUAUCACGCAGAACUCCGAUUGCGAAGGCAGCAUACCGGCGCUCAACUGACGCUCAGGCACGAAAGCGUGGGUAUCGAACAGGCUUAGAUACCCUGGUAGUCCACGCAGUAAACGAUGAAUGCUCACUGUCCGGGCCGUUUAAGGCCUGGGUGGUCAAGCGAAAGCGUUAAGCAUUCCACCUGGGGAGUACGCCGGCAACGGUGAAACUCAAAGGAAUUGACGGGGGCCCGCACAAGCGGAGGAACAUGUGGUUUAAUUCGAUGAUACGCGAGGAACCUUACCCGGGCUCAAACGGAAGGGGACAGUAUGAGAAAUCAUACAUUCCUUCGGGACCGCUUCCGAGGUGCUGCAUGGUUGUCGUCAGCUCGUGCCGUGAGGUGUCGGCUUAAGUGCCAUAACGAGCGCAACCCCUAUCGACAGUUGCUAGCAGGUAAAGCUGAGGACUCUGUCGAGACUGCCGGCGCAAGCUGUGAGGAAGGCGGGGAUGACGUCAAAUCAGCACGGCCCUUACGUCCGGGGCGAUACACGUGUUACAAUGGCAGGUACAGCGGGAAGCCACCCGGCGACGGGGCGCAGAACCCGAAAACCUGUCUCAGUUCGGAUUGGAGUCUGCAACCCGACUCCAUGAAGCUGGAUUCGAUAGUAAUCGCGCAUCAGCCACGGCGCGGUGAAUACGU